GUAGUGGAAGGGAGUGGAUGUGUUCACAGAUGGUGAUAAUGAGGGCUGUUGAGAGGUGCCAAAACAAAUGAACAAAUGAAAUGCCACAACCAAAAACAACAGUGUGUCUGGGUGGAGAGAGUCUCCUCAAUGAAUGGGGGGAAAGGUGUAUUUAUCCCCGGGAGAGUCGUCACAAACACACAAUGUUUUUUCUCCAUAACGUUUGUACACUGUUACUAUCCAUUCUACCAUUAGGUUGGUAGCCCAACACUGUUACUAUCCAUUCUACCAUUAGGUUGGUACCCCAACACUGUUACUAUCCAUUCUACCAUUAGGUUGGUACCCCAACACUGUUACUAUCCAUUCUACCAUUAG
rnacentral:lncRNA from 1 species